AUAUUGAUAAAAAUGAAAAAAUGUAUUAAGAUUUCGAAUGAAUUUGAAUUUUCCCCGCCAUUUCUACGCAAUUAAUUGCCAACAUGGAAAUCGCUAGCGUCAAUUGUUGUCAAGCCAGUGCUGCUGCAGCAAGUGUAUCGUAGGCUUGAAAGUGCAUCAUCUGCUCGUAAAAUUCUAUUUAUGUUGAAGCUGGUGACAAAUCGUAAUAUUACUGACAGGACAGAUAAAAUACAAUGGAUCCAAGGGGCCCUCCUGAGGGGGGCCCUGGUGACACAUUUGAUAUGUCCAACAUUAGUAAAGUUGCUGAUACUUCGGUAACUUGGCCAAUUGAUAGCCCAAUUAACUCGACAAUGUAUGAACAACCGAAGAAGAUGAAUAAUAAUAGAUUACUGUUUUUGACCGUUGAAUAUGUUCCAGAUCAAUCUAGAGAUUAUUCUCGUUUAUUUCCAACGUACGAGCAGGUCUCGUUCUCCCCCAGACCUUCGUCUCCUCUUUCCGAAUUUGAACAUCGCGUUAGUCCACUUGAUCCUAAUAUGAGUUCUGCUGCUAGGUAUUCACCAACUCCAGUUCAAUUACCUCCGUCUCCUUUUCAUAAUUCUGUUGUUAUUCUACAAGGUCCUUCUUCCCCUUUAAUAUCUACAACUGAAUCCAAUGUAAGAUCAAGUAUCAAUUUUGUGGGUCAAUUGACACAUCCAAUAGAUGCGCAAACUGAUACUGGAACAGAUUUUAUUAAUGAAGAUAAUGAAGAAGCUUUAGUUUCUACAGUUGGAAAUGAAUUAAUAUUAAUGCAAGAGCCUAAUGCAGAAUUGGAGCACAACACAACUCCGCUCAUGCUAACAGGUAUACCAGAUACAGAUUUUGCUAUAACAAGAGAUUAUGUAGUAAUGCAAGACGAUCAAGCCAAUGUAAUGAAUUCUUUAAAAAAUCCAACUUUUACAAUGGGAGAUAAUCAUAUUAAUAAUGAAUCUGAAAAAAAGAAUAUAACUAAAGAAAGUAAUCCUCAGUCAAUAACGGAAGCCAAUGAGCAAAUGGGUCAAAUUAAUGAAAUAUUAUCUCAUGCGAAUAAGAAAAAAUCUAUCGAUAAGAAAAAUACAAAGAAGUCUAAGCAACAAAUAGACGAUGACAAACAUUUUUGGUGUGAUGAAUGCGACGGUAUUUGUACCAGCGAAGAUGGUUGCACUUCUCAUAAUGUAUGUGCAAUUGCUGAUCAACCUGUACCAUCACGAGCUAUAGCUACACUGCCAGGAUCAUAUCUUUAUAUAAAGAAAUUAUCUACCGUGGAUAUUAUUUUGGGUGGUUCAGAAUAUGGAGUUUUUGCAAAACGUAAUAUUCGUAGGCGAACACAAUUUGGCCCUAUCGAAGGUAUUUUAUACAAUUAUGAUGGAACACCAUUUGAAAAUGCAUUACCACUGCUUUAUGAAGCAGAAGAGGGACAAUUUUUGAAAGUUGAUGUUUCAGAUGAAAAUACUUCAAACUGGAUGCGUUUUGUGAGACCUGCACUUACGUACAAAGAACAAAAUUUAGUGAUUUGCCAACAGAAAGAUGGAAUUGUAUUUUUAACUACAAAAAAUAUUUCACCAAAAGAAGAACUAAGAGCAGGACCUCAUCCUGAUUAUGCAGCACGUAGAAAUUUAAUGGUAUUGAAACCUGAUGUGAAAGAUGACAAAGAAUAUAACAAUAGCGUGAGUAUUUGGCCAAAAUCGGAUAAUAAUUCUUACAAUCAUGCAAGACGUAUGAAAUUGUACAGAGGCAGAAAUUUAAAAGAAAAAGAAAAUGCUAGACAAAAUAAUUGUAAAGAAUGGAAAUGUUGUACGUGCAAUUUAAUCUUCAAAAAGCUGUCUUUAUUUAAAAUACAUAAUCUUAUGCACAAUCCGGAAGACAAUAAGAUAAAUUGUCAAUCGACGGUUUGUCCACAGUGUGGAUUAGAAUGUCAAAAAAAGUCCGAAUUAAUCAGUCAUGUUUUGCAACAUGCUAGAUUAUCUUUGCCAAAAAGUAACAAAUUGACAUCAGUGGUUGCUGCAUAUAAGUGCUCGAUGUGUUAUAAGCGCUUUGCUACAAAAGUAAGAUUACAGAAACAUUGUUUAGUGCAUGGUGCCGAGGACCAAAAGCCACUGCCGUGCAACAUUUGUCUAAAAAGAUUCAUGAAUAAUUCUGCUUUAUCUUGUCACUUAAAAACACACAGAGAAAAUAAGCAAGUGUAUGAAUGUCCGAUAUGCAGACAACUUUUUGAUCAAGGCUUGAUGUUAAAAGAUCACGUUGAGACGCAUAGAAAUGGAGAUCAUACAUUUACCUGUCCUCAUUGCCAAAGAAAUUUUAUUAAAUAUUCGGUAAUUCGAAAACAUAUAAGAGCUCAUCAUUGUGAAAGAAAACACAAGUGUCAGUUUUGUACAAAGCGUUUCCCUACGGUGGAUAAACUACGAAUGCAUUUACUCAAACAUUCUGAUCACAGAGAAUUUCACUGUGCUAAUUGUGGAAAACAAUUUAAAAGAAAAGAUAAACUUAAGGAACACAUGACUAGAAUGCACAAUUCGCAGAAAACGAAUCAAGAACAAACAAUACAAAACAAUCAAGUAAAGAAGUUUGUGCCAAAGGUAAAUCCAAAUGAUUACAAUCGUUUCAUAUAUAAAUGCCAUCAAUGUCUAGUAGGAUUUAAACGAAGAGGAAUGCUUGUCAAUCAUUUGGCAAAACGACAUCCAGACGUUGCUCCAGAGUCCGUGCCUGAACUAAAUUUACCAAUUUUGCGACAAACGAGAGAUUAUUAUUGUCAAUAUUGUGAUAAGGUGUAUAAAAGCAGCAGCAAACGUAAAGCUCAUAUCAUGAAAAAUCAUCCGGGUGCUGCUCUACCACCGAGUAAUCGUCAGAAAGAAUCAGAAUAUUCGAGUCUGCCUAAUCCAACUUUCAGUCAAACGGUUGGUAGUAUUACAACUACACCUCAAGGAUGUCAAUGGUGUCAUAAACAAUAUGCUAGUAAGGCAAAACUUUUGCAACAUCAACGUAAGAAACAUCCGAAUUUAAUGGAACCGGCGGAUCAAAUUCCGCGCUCGAGAAGUCGUCCACCGCAAAAUCAAAAUCAACCACCUACGUUAAGCGAUAACAAUUUCAUGGAUUAUAUUCAAGCGUGCGACGUAGACGGAGAAUUUUUUAAACAGAGAAUAAUUAAAAUAUCAAACGAAGUUGAUCUAAUAAGUAACGGUUUGGAGUUGGUUGGGCAACAAUUUGUACGUAUGCGUGAUAUACGUUGAAGAAAGAAUAGGCACAAUCCCUUUGUCGGGGAAUCAUUGCUAAUUUAUCGAGAUAUGAAUCUCGUGACUUUGUGCAUAGUCAAAAGAGGCUGUGCUUUUUUGCUGCCGGUACCAAAUACAAGGCCAUCGUUUGCCUGAAAGAAGUGUGGUACGGUACUUCUACUUGAGAGUAUUUGGAAUGCAGCUUUGUCAGCGCCAGUGCGAAACACUGAGCGCUGUUGUCUCAAUUGUGUGAAUUGCAACGUUGGCCACUGACUAUGAUGACUUCAGUGGAUUUGUUGGAAUGAUGAAUUACACGACUUCAUGAGUACUUUGUCUGAGCCUCGAUACACAAAAAAAGCCUAAUGACAUAAAGAAUAAUAAUGAACAAGAAACAGUAAGAUUAUACUUGCAAUAGACGUACUAUUGUCUUGUGUAUUAUUGAAAACUUCAUUCGCAAGACAUUAUGGAUAUUGAGCCAUCAGAAGCUUACCGAAAAAUCUGAGAAGGAAGUGAAAACGAUCAUUUUACUUCUACACGUAUCUUUUUCUUAUUCUACCACUUUGCACUGAAUAAUAUGCAGAAAUAAAUAAUAGUUACGAUAA
rnacentral:misc_RNA from 1 species